UAUGUUAAUAUAACAGUUAGUAGGAGUGUAACAUAAUAUAUAUUAGUAGUAGUAAAGAAUAUUCGGUAAUGAUGGUAUAAUUUCUUAUAGCUUGUAAUAUAUGUACAGCUUAAGAAUAAAAGAGUAAAAGUAUUUAUGAUACCUUUUCUGUUUUGAUAAGGACAUCAUAUAAUAUAUUAUUAUCCACUAUUAUAUAUUAUCAAAUAUAAGUAGUAGGAUAUCUCUUAUCACCUAAUUUAAAAUCGUUUAUGACAUUGAACAUAGCAUUAGAAAAAAAAAAUCCUUUUUUUUUUUUUUCUUUUGCAACAUAUAUACUAAUAUGGCAUGGUAUAUAUAAAAGUCAUGUGGUUGGUUAACUAAAGGGAUAUAGAAUAUAUAUAGGAGUAUAAUAAUAGUGAGAUUAUUUAUACAUAUAUAUGUGUGUGUGGAUGGUACUCUGGCGGAAUUGAUUGGUAUUAAAUAAUCAUGAAAAAGACUACAUAUAUAUAAUAUCAUUGCAAAAAGCCAGUGAUAUUAUAUAUAGAAGGAACCUCAUAUAUGUAUUCAUUAAAGAUGUAUAUAGGAGGUGGGGAAAUACAAGCGAAUGUUGUACAAACAGAGGGGUACAGUAACAUGGCUACAGGUACUUUUUUACAGGUACAUGGCUACAGGUACUUUUUUACAGGUACAUGGCUACAGGACUUGUUUACGGGAUUUUCCUACAGGAUUUACCUAAUGGAUUUCCCUACAGGACUUGCCUAAAGGAUUUACCUAAUGGAUUUUCCUACAGGAUUUACCUAAUGGACUUGCCUAAAGGAUUUACCUAAUGGAUUUUCCUACAGGACUUGUUUACAGGAUUUACCUAAUGGACUUGCCUACAGGAUUUACCUAAUGGACUUGUUUACAGGAUUUGCCUACAGGACUUGUUUACAGGAUUUGCCUAAUGGACAUGCCUACAGGACUUGUUUACAGGAUUUACCUAAUGGACUUGUUUACAGGAUUUGCCUACAGGACUUGUUUACAGGAUUUGCCUAAUGGACAUGCCUACAGGACUUGUUUACAGGAUUUGUCUACAGGAUUUACCUAAUGGAUUUACCUAAUGGAUUUUCCUACAGGAUUUGCCUACAGGAUUUGCCUACAGGAUUUGCCUACAGGAUUUUCCUACAGGAUUUGCCUACAGGAUUUGCCUACAGGAUUUGCCUACAGGAUUUACCUAAUGGAUUUUCCUACAGGACUUGUUUACAGGAUUUGCCUAAAGGAUUUUCCUACAGGACUUGUUUACAGGAUUUGCCUACAGGAUUUACCUAAUGGACUUGUUUACAGGACUUGCCUACAGGAUUUGCCUAAAGGAUAUGCCUCAGGACUUGCCUACAGUAUUUGCCUAAAGGAUUUACCUAAUGGACUUGUUUACAGGACUUGCCUAAUGGACAUGCCUAAAGGAUUUACCUAAUGGAUUUUCCUACAGGACUUGUUUACAGGAUUUACCUAAUGGAUUUUCUUAAAGGACCUUCCUAAAGGAUAUGCCUAUAUAUAUAUGGCUAAGGAGAACGGUUUCUACCGAAGGGCUACAGAAAAAGAUUAUAAUAAAUAAAAAAGUGCAAAUCUUUUUCAGAAACGGCACAGGCGCAGCCAAUAUGCACUAGGAAACAAAGGAAAAGGUACAAAUAAAAUGUGCAAAACUGAUACAGAAACGGCACAGGAGCAGCCAAAUAAUGCACAUAGGAAAACACAAUAAAAGAUUCAGAAAUUUUAAAGUACGUUUUUAAUAUCAGUUGGUACUUUAGAAAACUGUCUUUCUAUGGGUAAGGAAUAAAUUGUAUUUUAAUUAUAUGCAAUUUAUUUGUGUUUUCUUCUUAUAUGGUAACAUAUAAUGUUUGAAUUAAAUGUGUUUGUUUGUUUAUUUUUACAUUUGCAUACAAAAAGGCAUGAAAUGCGCCUUUUUUUUAUUAUUUUGUGUUUCGUUUUAAUUGCUUGAAUUUGUUACAUAAAAAUCAUAUAUAUAAUAUGGCAUAUUUUAUUAUUAAGUAGAAUAUGCCAUAAUAUAACUAAGUUUUUUUUUUUUUUUAGCUCUUAUUUCUUUUAUAUUUAGGUGUUGAGUAUUUUUUAUCGUUUUAAAGGAUAACUUUUUUUAUCCUAAUUAAAGUUAAUUCUUAUGACGUUUUACUUUACAGGUCGUGAAUAAGAUACUUUUUGUUAUAAGAAGAAAGGAUCCUUCUUUUAUAAUACACAUGUAAGAAGAUAAUGUAGGUAAAAGCAUUUUAUAAUUAUUAUUAUAAUAAUGAAACAACAAUAAAAAAAAAAAAAAAAAGUAAAAAAAAAAAAAAAAAAAAGUAAAAAAAAAAAAAAAAAGUAAAAAGAAAAAAAAAAAAAGUAAAAAGAAAAAAAAAAAAACUACAUGUAUAUAUACAUAAUUUUUAUUUUAUGUAUAUACGUUUUUAUAUGCAUAGCAUAUAUUGUAUGUUUUAUUUAUACUUGUGUUAUAGUGUUGCAUAUACAAAAAAAAUUCAUUGGCCUAAUGUAAAGAGGUGAAUGAAGUGUUAUUUUUAUUUUUAUUUUAUUUUAAUUGAAGUUAAUAAUUAAAAUAUAUGUGUGUUAGUAUAAUAUGUAGUAUAUAUAGUGAUUGCCUUAUGUUAUUAUGUUGUUGCAAAUAAAAAGAAAUAUAUAUGUCUGUCUAAAUAUAUAAUUAAUUACAUGAAUGAAUAUUUUUUUAAUAUGUCUUCAUUUCACAAUUAAAUGUGUUACAUCAAUAAAUGUAUUUUUAUAAGUCUUCAUUUCAUAACUAAAUGUGUGUUACAUCAAUAAAUGUAUUUUUAUAAGUCUUCAUUUCAUAAUUAAAUGUGUGUUACAUCAAUAAAUGUAUUUUUAUAAGUCUUCAUUUCAUAAUUAAAUGUGGUUACAUCAAUAAAAAAUUUUUUUAAUAAACCUUAAAUUUAUAAUUAAAUGUGUUACAUGAAUGAAUACGUGUAGUUAUAGAAGCACAAAUGACGCUAAGAUAUAUUCAUAAUGAUAUCUUGAAGACCAAAUAAGGACAAGACAAAUAAAUAAUAGUAUACAUUAGAGUAUAUAUAUUUGAAGACUUGACGAAUAUGGAAAUCUUGAAGAAGAAUGGAUUUAUUGAAUGAAUGGAAAUCCCCGAAGACAUACAAUUGUGUAUAUAAAUCUUGGAGUAUUACAUAUUAUAUUGCUACAUAAAUAUUUUUAACUUCUUUUUUUUUUAUUUUAAUUUUUAUGUGUCAAUAUAUAUAUAUAUAUAUAUAUAUAUAUUAACACUAAU
rnacentral:sRNA from 1 species